UGCUUCUAUCUUUUGCAUGUUAAUCUUCUACAUCCAGUCUAUAUACAUAUAUACCUUCUUUUAUGUGACUCACUUCCCUUUGAAGUUUGUUCCAAAAAUAACGACACUAUUAAAUUUAGGUAUAAUUAACUUUACAACUUCUCAUUUUACCCUUAAUGAGAAUCUUUUAUAACCACACAAUGGUAUGACAUGUUUAAGGCCACAAGUUCCAAAAAUUAUAUAGCCACACAAAUGUUAUGAAUGAUUUAGACCUCAAGUUUCAAAAUUCUUCAUUUUAUUUCUUAAACUUUAUGACCAUCCAAGCUAUGCCACGUAAACUGGAACAGAGAGAGUAUCUGUUUUGACUUCUGAUUGACCUUCUCAUAUUGUUUGCUUAGUGUAUUUGACAACAUGGUCCCUCUGUAGUUUUAAAAUGGAAUAAGUGAAACUUUAGAGUUUGGUAUUUCCUGUUACCUGAUUAGUAAUACUGCCUAUACAGCUCAAAUGAAUGAUGCACUUUUUCGAUUGAAACCUAAAAGCAAUAUCUACUGAGAAGUUACUCCUCUAUUGUGUGCCGGUUGAAUUAAAUAAAAUAGAGCAUCCUCUUUCUGAUGAACUCUAUGUUUCCUAAUAUGAUGAGGCUCUGGUCAUUUAGUUUAAACUGAAUCUGAUGCCAAAACUAUCCUGUUUUUGCCUACAUGAAAUUUCUCAAAAUGAUAUAUUCUUUGGUAGAAGAAAGAAAAAUUGUUCCAAGUACAGAUAUAGGUAUUUAACCUAGGCCCUUGAUGAUCACUCCGUCUAUCAACCAACCCAAACUUGAGGAGCCAGGAUAACUCGAAUUGGUAGUUGUGCUUGGGUUUGUCGAAGAACACUGGAGAAAUUAUACAUUCGUCAGCUGAAUACAAAAAGAAUUCUGUCAAAAAACUUUGUCAUGAAUUAUUGCUUGGAUGCUGUUAGGAGGCAAUCACGGUAGCUGUUUCAUCAUUGUGAAAAUUCUUUAUAGAAUUUCUCCAUGAUAGUUUUUGCUUAUUAAUUAGUUCUUUUCCCUUUUUUUACUGCAUAAAUCUGCUAUUUAGUUUAUAAUUUCUCCUUUCCUAUUUAGGCUUACAAAAUACUUAUGGAGCAAUAUUAGGUUAAAGUAUGGUGGUAAAUAUAUUGCCAGAUUUGCAAUCAAGUAUUAUGAUAAAACCAUGUAAAAAAUCAUUUUGUGGAAGCUGAUAGCAAUUUUCUCAUGUUUCUUAGUGAAUGUUGCUUGUCAUAGUAUGAUCUUCUCUUCUUUCUUUUUUUAAAUUGUUAAAAGAGGUGGUGGUAAGUGGUAAGCAUAAUAUGGUCUUUUUAAUAUGCUUUUGACUUCUGAGAAUACUUAAGUUCUUGUUUAUGCUCAAGGAGUGUUCUACGAAUAAGCAGUAAUGUGCAAAAGACAAAUUACUUCAACAUGAAGUCUCUUAAAAAAGAAAAGUUCAGAAAGGAGCUGCGGAAAA